rnacentral:rRNA from 1 species
AUUGAACGCUGGCGGCAGGCCUAACACAUGCAAGUCGAGCGAGCGGCGGACGGGUGAGUAAUGUCUGGGAAACUGCCUGAUGGAGGGGGAUAACUACUGGAAACGGUAGCUAAUACCGCAUACCAUCAGAUGUGCCCAGAUGGGAUUAGUUAGGAGGUGGGGUAACCGCUCACCUAGGCGACGAUCCCUAGCUGGUCUGAGAGGAUGACCAGCCACAAUGGAACUGAGACACGGUCCAGACUCCUACGGGAGGCAGCAGAGGGGAAUAUUGCACAAAGGGCGCAAGCCAGAUGCAGCCAUGCCGCGUGUGUGAAGAAGGCAUUCGGGUUGUAAAGCACUUUCAGCGGGGAGGCGUUACCCGCAGAAGAAGCACCGGCUAACUCCGUGCCAGCAGCCGCGGUAAUUC